CAUUGAGAAGCUAAAUAAGCGUUAACCUUUUAAGUUAAAGAUUGGGAGCUUAGAUCUCCCCUUAAUGA
rnacentral:tRNA from 1 species